rnacentral:rRNA from 1 species
UGGGGAAUAUUGGGCAAUGGGCGCAAGCCUGACCCAGCAACGCCGCGUGAAGGAAGAAGGCUUUCGGGUUGUAAACUUCUUUUCUGGGGGACGAACAAAUGACGGUACCCCAGGAAUAAGCCACGGCUAACUACGUGCCAGCAGCCGCGGUAAUACGUAGGUGGCAAGCGUUAUCCGGAUUUAUUGGGUGUAAAGGGCGUGUAGGCGGGAAUGCAAGUCAGAUGUGAAAACUCAGGGCUCAACCCUGAGCCUGCAUUUGAAACUGUGUUUCUUGAGUGCUGGAGAGGCAAUCGGAAUUCCGUG